rnacentral:rRNA from 1 species
UAAGUUGCAGGGUAUAGACCCGAAACCCGGUGAUCUAGCCAUGGGCAGGUUGAAGGUUGGGUAACACUAACUGGAGGACCGAACCGACUAAUGUUGAAAAAUUAGCGGAUGACCUGUGGCUGGGGGUGAAAGGCCAAUCAAACCGGGAGAUAGCUGGUUCUCCCCGAAAGCUAUUUAGGUAGCGCCUCGUGAAUUCAUCUCCGGGGGUAGAGCACUGUUUCGGCUAGGGGGCCAUCCCGGCUUACCAACCCGAUGCAAACUGCGAAUACCGGAGAAUGUUAUCACGGGAGACACACGGCGGGUGCUAACGUCCGUCGUGAAGAGGGAAACAACCCAGACCGCCAGCUAAGGUCCCAAAGUCAUGGUUAAGUGGGAAACGAUGUGGGAAGGCCCAGACAGCCAGGAUGUUGGCUUAGAAGCAGCCAUCAUUUAAAGAAAGCGUAAUAGCUCACUGGUCGAGUCGGCCUGCGCGGAAGAUGUAACGGGGCUAAACCAUGCACCGAAGCUGCGGCAGCGACGCUGAUGCGUUGUUGGGUAGGGGAGCGUUCUGUAAGCCUGUGAAGGUGGCCUGUGAGGGUUGCUGGAGGUAUCAGAAGUGCGAAUGCUGACAUAAGUAACGAUAAAGCGGGUGAAAAGCCCGCUCGCCGGAAGACCAAGGGUUCCUGUCCAACGUUAAUCGGGGCAGGGUGAGUCGACCCCUAAGGCGAGGCCGAAAGGCGUAGUCGAUGGGAAACGGGUUAAUAUUCCCGUACUUGGUGUUACUGCGAAGGGGGGACGGAGAAGGCUAUGUUGGCCGGGCGACGGUUGUCCCGGUUUAAGCGUGUAGGUGUGUGUUCCAGGUAAAUCCGGUUCACUUUAACACUGAGGCGUGACGACGAGGCACUACGGUGCUGAAGCAACAAAUGCCCUGCUUCCAGGAAAAGCCUCUAAGCAUCAGGUAACAUCAAAUCGUACCCCAAACCGACACAGGUGGUCAGGUAGAGAAUACCAAGGCGCUUGAGAGAACUCGGGUGAAGGAACUAGGCAAAAUGGUGCCGUAACUUCGGGAGAAGGCACGCUGACAUGUAGGUGAAGUGAUUUACUCAUGGAGCUGAAGUCAGUCGAAGAUACCAGCUGGCUGCAACUGUUUAUUAAAAACACAGCACUGUGCAAACACGAAAGUGGACGUAUACGGUGUGACGCCUGCCCGGUGCCGGAAGGUUAAUUGAUGGGGUCAGCGCAAGCGAAGCUCCUGAUCGAAGCCCCGGUAAACGGCGGCCGUAACUAUAACGGUCCUAAGGUAGCGAAAUUCCUUGUCGGGUAAGUUCCGACCUGCACGAAUGGCGUAAUGAUGGCCAGGCUGUCUCCACCCGAGACUCAGUGAAAUUGAACUCGCUGUGAAGAUGCAGUGUACCCGCGGCAAGACGGAAAGACCCCGUGAACCUUUACUAUAGCUUGACACUGAACAUUGAGCCUUGAUGUGUAGGAUAGGUGGGAGGCUUUGAAGUGUGGACGCCAGUCUGCAUGGAGCCGACCUUGAAAUACCACCCUUUAAUGUUUGAUGUUCUAACGUGGACCCGUAAUCCGGGUUGCGGACAGUGUCUGGUGGGUAGUUUGACUGGGGCGGUCUCCUCCUAAAGAGUAACGGAGGAGCACGAAGGUUGGCUAAUCCUGGUCGGACAUCAGGAGGUUAGUGCAAUGGCAUAAGCCAGCUUGACUGCGAGCGUGACGGCGCGAGCAGGUGCGAAAGCAGGUCAUAGUGAUCCGGUGGUUCUGAAUGGAAGGGCCAUCGCUCAACGGAUAAAAGGUACUCCGGGGAUAACAGGCUGAUACCGCCCAAGAGUUCAUAUCGACGGCGGUGUUUGGCACCUCGAUGUCGGCUCAUCACAUCCUGGGGCUGAAGUAGGUCCCAAGGGUAUGGCUGUUCGCCAUUUAAAGUGGUACGCGAGCUGGGUUUAGAACGUCGUGAGACAGUUCGGUCCCUAUCUGCCGUGGGCGCUGGAGAACUGAGGGGGGCUGCUCCUAGUACGAGAGGACCGGAGUGGACGCAUCACUGGUGUUCGGGUUGUCAUGCCAAUGGCACUGCCCGGUAGCUAAAUGCGGAAGAGAUAAGUGCUGAAAGCAUCUAAGCACGAAACUUGCCCCGA